rnacentral:misc_RNA from 1 species
CGAACGGUUGCUAGAGAAGGAUCCAACGAAGAGGCUGGGUUAUCAAAGAGGAGCACGCGAGAUCAAGGAGCACGUGUUCUUCAAAGGGUUGAGGUGGGACCUACUUACUGAGGUAUUACGGCCACCGUUUAUUCCCGCCAGAGAUGAUACUAAUCUAACAGAAACGACUGAAGGGGUGGAUAUUAGGGAGUACUUCCAGAAUUUGAAGGCACCGCCGUCGCUUCCCCCAUCGCGGUUACCUUCACCUUCUUCAGAGUGCCAUAGAAGCAUGUCGUUGAAGGAGUUUUAAGCGCACGUGUGGCAGUUGGCUCGUGUAAGAGUGAGUUAGUAUUAAUUCAUUUUUCAUAUACAUUAAUUAUAUAUGAUGACUGUGUCUGUGUACAUAAAAUAAUGGGUAGAACGUGAAAAAGGCUUUAGUGGAAAGAGAUUAUUAGUUAGUGCUUAUUAAAAAGCUAUAAAUAGA